CGCGGCCUAUCAGCUUGUUGGUGGGGUGAUGGCCUACCAAGGCGACGACGGGUAGCCGGCCUGAGAGGGCGACCGGCCACACAGGGACUGAGACACGGCCCAGACUCCUACGGGAGGCAGCAGUGGGGAAUAUUGCACAAUGGGCGGAAGCCUGAUGCAGCGACGCCGCGUGAGGGAUGACGGCCUUCGGGUUGUAAACCUCUUUCAGCAGGGACGAAGCGUGAGUGACGGUACCUGCAGAAGAAGCGCCGGCCAACUACGUGCCAGCAGCCGCGGUAAGACGUAGGGCGCGAGCGUUGUCCGGAUUUAUUGGGCGUAAAGAGCUCGUAGGCGGCUUGUCGCGUCGUCCGUGAAAACUUGGGGCUCAACUCCAAGCUUGCGGUCGAUACGGGCAGGCUAGAGUUCGGUAGGGGAGACUGGAACUCCUGGUGUAGCGGUGAAAUGCGCAGAUAUCAGGAGGAACACCGGUGGCGAAGGCGGGUCUCUGGGCCGAUACUGACGCUGAGGAGCGAAAGCGUGGGGAGCGAACAGGAUUAGAUACCCUGGUAGUCCACGCUGUAAACGUUGGGCGCUAGGUGUGGGGGGCCUCUCCGGUUCUCUGUGCCGCAGCUAACGCAUUAAGCGCCCCGCCUGGGGAGUACG
rnacentral:rRNA from 1 species